rnacentral:misc_RNA from 1 species
ACCAACCUUCUUACUCAAAAGUACCACUUACUCUGUUCUUUUAGCUCAACUGUUUAGCUUUUCGCUUGAUCAGUUCUAGUAAACCUUCAAUUUAUCUGCAACAAAAGUAACUAUAUUUCUGUUACCAUUCUCUAACCUCUGCAAAACGCAGUGCUUAAUCUCAUAAGAGAGUACAAUUGAGGUUCUUGCCACCUAAUCCAUUCACCA